AACGUCUCAGUUCGGAUUGUAGUCUGCAACUCGACUACAUGAAGCUGGAAUCGCUAGUAAUCGCAGAUCAGAAUGCUGCGGUGAAUACGUUCCCGGGUCUUGUACACACCGCCCGUCACACCAUGGGAGUCGGAAAUGCCCGAAGCCGGUGACCCAACCAAAAGGAGGGGAGCCGUCGAAGGCAGGUCUGAUAACUGGGGUGAAGUCGUAACAAGGUAAC
rnacentral:rRNA from 1 species